UGCAGUCUAAGGAGAAAGUUCCUUCGGGAGCGAGUAAACUGGCGAACGGGUGAGUAACGCGUAGGUAACCUACCCUUAAGCUCGGGAUAACCCACCGAAAGGUGAGCUAAUACCGGAUAAUAUCUUUCCUCAUAGGGGGUAAAGAUCAAAGGUGGCUUCGGCUAUCACUUAUGGAUGGGCCUGCGUCUGAUUAGCUAGUUGGUAGGGUAACGGCCUACCAAAGCAAUGAUCAGUAGCUGGUCUGAGAGGGCGAUCAGCCACAUUGGGACUGAGAUACGGCCCAGACUCCUACGGGAGGCAGCAGUGGGGAAUUUUGCGCAAUGAGCGAAAGCUUGACGCAGCAACGCCGCGUGAUCGAAGAAGCUCUGCGGAGUGUAAAGAUCUGUCAUAGGGGAAGAUAAGUUCCGUUAUUAACACCAUCGGGAUGUGACGGUACCCUAUAAGAAAGCCCCGGCUAACUUCGUGCCAGCAGCCGCGGUAAUACGAGGGGGGCAAGCGUUGUCCGGAUUUAUUGGGCGUAAAGAGUUCGUAGGCUGGUUGGUCAGUCGAAAUUGAAAUCCCACGGCUUAACCGUGGACCCGGUUUCGAUACUGCCAAUCUUGAGUGAGGUAGAGGUAAGCGGAAUUCCUGGUGUAGCGGUGAAAUGCGUAGAUAUCAGGAGGAACACCAAAGGCGAAGGCAGCUUACUGGACCUAUACUGACGCUGAGGAACGAAAGCGUGGGGAGCAAACAGGAUUAGAGACCCUGGUAGUCCACGCCGUAAACGAUGAGUACUUGGUGGUGGGGGAAUCGACCCCUUCACUGUCGGAGCUAACGCGUUAAGUACUCC
rnacentral:rRNA from 1 species